rnacentral:rRNA from 1 species
AUUGAACGCUGGCGGCAGGCCUAACACAUGCAAGUCGAGCGGAUGAAGGGAGCUUGCUCCUGGAUUCAGCGGCGGACGGGUGUGUAAUGCCUAGGAAUCUGCUUGGUAGUGGGGGAUAACGUCCGGAAACGGGCGCUAAUACUGCAUACGUCCUGAGGGUGAAAGUGGGGGAUCUUCGGACCUCACGCUAUCAGAUGAGCCUAGGUCGGAUUAGCUAGUUGGUGGGGUAAAGGCCUACCAAGGCGACGAUCCGUAACUGGUCUGAGAGGAUGAUCAGUCACACUGGAACUGAGACACGGUCCAGACUCCUACGGGAGGCAGCAGUGGGGAAUAUUGGACAAUGGGCGAAAGCCUGAUCCAGCCAUGCCGCGUGUGUGAAGAAGGUCUUCGGAUUGUAAAGCACUUUAAGUUGGGAGGAAGGGCAGUAAGUUAAUACCUUGCUGUUUUGACGUUACCAACAGAAUAAGCACCGGCUAACUUCGUG